UGUGUGUGUUCCACCAUGUGUGUGUUCCACCAUGUGUGUGUUCCACCAUGUGUGUGUUCCACCAUGUGUGUGUUCCACCAUGUGUGUGUUCCACCAUGUGUGUGUGUGUUCCACCAUGUGUGUGUUCCACCAUGUGUGUGUGUGUUCCACCAUGUGUGUGUUCCACCAUGUGUGUGUUCCACCAUGUGUGUGUUCCACCGUGUGUGUUCCACCAUGUGUGUGUUCCACCAUGUGUGUUCCACCAUGUGUGUGUUCCACCAUGUGUGUGUUCCACCAUGUGUGUUCCACCAUGUGUGUUCUAGAAGCAUAUCUGUUUCCACCCUGUCAGUGUGCCUCUGUCAGGUCACACAGAUUGUCCUGUUGUUCUGUCCUAGGCUUUGAAGCACGUGGCUUACAUCUUCAUCAUAGAAAAUUCAUAUGGGGUGGGGGGAUUCACACCAAA
rnacentral:lncRNA from 1 species